rnacentral:rRNA from 1 species
GACGGAUUUCAUUACAUAGUGGCGGACGGGUGAGUAACGCGUGGAGAACCUGCACUGUACUGGGGGAUAGCAGCUGGAAACGGCUGGUAAUACCGCAUGAGACCACGGAAGGGCAUCCUUCUGAGGCAAAAGAUUUAUCGGUACAGGAUGGAUCCGCGUUUGAUUAGCCAGUUGGCGGGGUAACGGCCCACCAAAGCGACGAUCAAUAGCCGGCCUGAGAGGGCGGACGGCCACAUUGGGACUGAGACACGGCCCAGACUCCUACGGGAGGCAGCAGUGGGGGAUAUUGCACAAUGGACGAAAGUCUGAUGCAGCGACGCCGCGUGAGUGAAGAAGUAUUUCGGUAUGUAAAGCUCUAUCAGCAGGGAAGAAAGGCUCCGCAAGGAGAGAUGACGGUACCUGAGUAAGAAGCCCCGGCUAACUACGUGCCAGCAGCCGCGGUAAUACGUAGGGGGCAAGCGUUAUCCGGAUUUACUGGGUGUAAAGGGAGCGCAGACGGAUGUGCAAGUCUGAUGUGAAAUCCCGGGGCUCACCCCCGGGACUGCAUUGGAAACUGUGCGUCUGGAGUACUGGAAGGGCAAGCGGAAUUCCUGGUGUAGCGGUGAAAUGCGUAGAUAUCAGGAAGAACACCGGAGGCGAAGGCGGCUUGCUGGACAGUAACUGACGUUGAGGCUCGAAAGCGUGGGGAGCAAACAGGAUUAGAUAC